rnacentral:rRNA from 1 species
AAUAGAUACCCUGGUAGUCCACGCUGUAAACGAUGAGGACUAGAUGUUGGUAGGGGAACCUAUCGGUAUCGAAGCAAACGCGAUAAGUCUUCCGCCUGGGAAGUACGGCCGCAAGGUUGAAACUCAAAUGAAUUGACGGGGGCCCGCACAAGCGGUGGAGCAUGUGGUUUAAUUCGAUGCAACGCGAAGAACCUUACCUACCCUUGACAUCCUAGGAACCCUGCAGAGACGUAGGGGUGCCGAAAGGAACCUAGAGACAGGUGCUGCAUGGCUGUCGUCAGCUCGUGUUGUGAGAUGUUGGGUUAAGUCCCGUAACGAGCGCAACCCUUGCCCUUAGUUGCCAGCAUUAAGUUGGGGACUCUAAGGGGACUGCCGGUGAUGAACCGGAGGAAGGCGGGGACGACGUCAAGUCAUCAUGGCCUUUAUGGGUAGGGCUACACACGUGCUACAAGUGGGGCGUACAGAGGGUAGCCAACCCGCGAGGGGGAGCCAAUCUCAGAAAGCGCCUCGUAGUCCGGAUUGGAGUCUGCAACUCGACUCCAUGAAGUU